AGAGUCACAGCCAGAGAUGGGAAAGUUGGGGUGCACUGCUCCUUUUGGGGGUGUAAGUCUUCCCCAGGUGUCCAAGCCAGGUGGACUCGCUGAGGGGAGCUCACGGCAUGACCCAGGGGGGCUGAAGGCUCUGAGGUUUGGUCCCAGGAG